UUUAGAACUGUCGUAACCCUAAUGUCGUCUUCUCUAUCCUUUCCACUUCCACUUCUCCAUUGCUCUUCUCCAAAUCCGUUUCAAACGUAUUCACUAUUAUCUCCUCUAAUCAAUACUUUGCUUCAACUCAUUCAAUGGGUUCCUUUCACCUUCCUCUCCAUUUGUCUAUUAUAAAUUUAUUUUCCUAUCUUAUGUCUCCAUUACAAUUGAUUCUCUCAGACAUUCAUUUCGAUGGAACCCAUAGUUGUAUCACAUAAUGCGAUGGAAAAUGUUGGUUUUACAAUUGGAAAUGUGCUCUCCACUGUCUAUUAUGUACAUCCACCAUAAAAGUCACGGUUGAAAGCAGUUAACGAGGAAGAAGAUCAAGGAAAAAAGAACAGGAAGAAGUUGGGAUAUUUGGUUAAUCAAAAACAAGUUGCAUAAUUUUGCUAGACAACACUCAGAUGUCCUUGAGAACUUGAGUCCGACACUCAAAGAGGUUCCAGGAGAGAUCGAUCCAAACCAACAAGAUGAAAUGGAAUCAAAGCUUUUGGAGAAGAAAAAAAAAAGCUUUUUGAGAAGAGAGCAGCUUUAGAAGCAAAAUAUCAGACGUGAUAUUAACCUUUGUAUACCAAGGUUAUGCUUAAGAUGUUGCCAGAUGGGUACUGUUGAAAAUAUUCCAAAGUUCAUCAAGGGAGUGAGAACAGGCCAAAAUUAUCAAAAGAAAUUGCAGAUGAAGUAUUUCCCACUGUUGGAAGGGCAAACGAGUGUUCAUCACUUCCUCUCACACAAAUAUGGAAACUUGGAGUAUCUAAACAUGGCAAUGGGAUUUCCACCAGAAUCUUAAUUGGUCUUAUUUGCUAUACCUUGGAAAAGCUUUGCCUGAGCUGAGCUGAGCUGUGAGGAGGACGAGUCUGCGACUUCGACAGGAAAGACGUCAGAGCUAUAGACAGCUUUUAUUUAAGUCACAAGAGUGAUUGGAUGAGCCUGACACCAAGAACAUAAUAUUUCAAUAGGUUAAUUUCUUACCGAGAAAAACUCGGCAUUUUUUACGGAGAAUAUGUUUAUUUAAAGUAGUUUGAAACUUAGAUAGCUCAAAGAUAUGCAUUUUACAUGCAUGCAUGUGUACGUUAGUGUGAAAUAGAGACAUGGUAGAUGAACCAAAAACGCCUUCAUUCUCUCUUUGAUACCAAUCUAAAGUAAGCACACACCAAUGUACUUUAAAGAUUUCAAUAAGCAAAUAUGUUUGACACAAUC